UACGUAGGGGGCAAGCGUUGUCCGGAUUUAUUGGGCGUAAAGAGCUCGUAGGCGGCUUGGCAAGUCGGGUGUGAAAACUCCAGGCUCAACCUGGAGAUGCCACUCGAGACUGCUAUGGCUAGAGUCCGGUAGGGGACCACGGAAUUCCUGGUGUACGGUGAAAUGCGGCAGAUAUCAGGAGGAACACCGGUGGCGAAGGCGGUUCUCUGGGCAUUACCUGACGCUGAGGAGCGAAAGUGUGGGAGCGAACAGG
rnacentral:rRNA from 1 species